rnacentral:rRNA from 1 species
AACGAACGGUGGCGGCGUGGAUAAGACAUGCAAGUCGAACGGGAUAUUUUGGGUAGCAAUACUCAAAAUGUUCAGUGGCGCAAGGGUGCGUAACACGUGGGCAAUCUGCCCAGGGGCGCGGGAUAGCUCGGCGAAAGUCGAAUUAAUACCGCAUGUGGCUACUGAGGGAUUCCUCGGGAUGCUAAAGAUGGCGCAAGCUGUCACUCCUGGAUGAGCCCGCGGCCUAUCAGCUAGUUGGCGGGGGAAAAGCCCACCAAGGCUAUGACGGGUAGCUGGUCUGAGAGGACGACCAGCCACACUGGAACUGAGACACGGUCCAGACACCUACGGGUGGCAGCAGUCGAGAAUUUUUCUCAAUGGGGGAAACCCUGAAGGAGCGACGCCGCGUGGAGGAUGAAGGUCUUCGGAUUGUAAACUCCUGUCAUUUGGGAACAACUAUGCGGUUUAACUGACUGCAAAACGAUAGUACCAGAAGAGGAAGGGACGGCUAACUCUGUGCCAGCAGCCGCCGUAAAAC